rnacentral:lncRNA from 1 species
UUCUCACUCACCAAAAUUGAGAUACUCCUUUCAAGCACCACUUCAUUUAAGUGGGAGAGAAAAAGUGAUAUAUGGUCACCUUGCCUAACCUCUCUAGCACACUUAAAGUAUCCUUGAAGUGAACCUUUGAUUUCCACAAACAUAUGAGCAGAAGAGAUAAUAAAUGAAACCCAACAACAUAACUUUUUAAUAAAAUAAAAAA